GGAUAACUGGCAGCUUUUCCAUCAGAAAUUUCCUUGGCAUUUCUCCUUCGAUAUUUAGGACCAUUGCUUGAAUUUCGAUUAACUUUUCGGGGGUUUUCACUUUGAGAGCCCCUGGAUCCAUUAUUGUCAUUGGACUCAAGCAAUUGUUCCAAUUCUUUUACCAUUUCUUCCACAUUAGGCCUAAACCUUGGCUCUGUUGAUAGGCACUGGACUGCAAGAUU
rnacentral:misc_RNA from 1 species